GGGGUUAAAGUCCCGUAACGAGCGCAACCCUUGUCCUUAGUUACCAGCACGUUAUGGUGGGCACUCUAAGGAGACUGCCGGUGACAAACCGGAGGAAGGUGGGGAUGACGUCAAGUCAUCAUGGCCCUUACGGCCUGGGCUACACACGUGCUACAAUGGUCGGUACAAAGGGUUGCCAAGCCGCGAGGUGGAGCUAAUCCCAUAAAACCGAUCGUAGUCCGGAUCGCAGUCUGCAACUCGACUGCGUGAAGUCGGAAUCGCUAGUAAUCGUGAAUCAGAAUGUCACGGUGAAUACGUUCCCGGGCCUU
rnacentral:rRNA from 1 species